GGCCUCGUGGCCCAAUGGCAAGGCGUCUGACUACGAUAAGGUCCAUGACUGAAUGGACAUUACAAUGUAAUCAGGAGAUUCUGGGUUCGACCCCCAGCGAGGUCA